rnacentral:rRNA from 1 species
CGUGCAGGUGGUUUGGUAAGUUGGGUAUGAAAUCUCCUGGCUUAACUAGGAGAGGUUGCUCAAAACUACCAGACUAGAGGACGGUAGAGGAAGGUGGAAUUCCCGGUGUAGUAGUGAAGUGCGUAGAUAUCGGGAGGAACACCAGUGGCGAAGGCGGCCUUCUGGGCCGUUCCUGACACUAAGACGCGAAAGCAUGGGUAGCAAACG